GGCUGUUUCGUUUUUGCCACGUUUAUUGUUUUGUAUUAUGUUCAUGUUGAGUUCUUGAGUUCUUAUUAAAAACAUGAACUAUAACCACGCUGCAUUUUGGUCCGCCUCUCCUUCCCAGGAGGAAAGCCGUUACAGUAAUGUGGUUUGCUGUUGUUUUCGCAGUCGUCCUUCCUCUCUCUCCUUGGCUGCUAAAGUGUGUGACUGAGUGAGUUGCACGGCUCUCACUCACGCAUCUUCAGUUCAAUGGUUGACACUGCGUUUCUGAUUGACAGAACAACAGAUUCGGCUCUUCUGAUAUGCAAGCCGGCUCCCAACGUUCAGCUACAAGAGCUGGCUCUUAGAGCCAACAAGUUACAUCAUACAUACAUUUACAUUUAAGUCAUUUAGCAGACGCUCUUAUCCAGAGCGACUAGUUCAUGAACGACCCAUCACUACUCCAUAGUUCUACUUAGCACCUUUUUUUCUGAGUGCAUCUUAAGAUGAAUUUAAGUCACUCUGUAUAGGAGUGUCUGCUAAAUGUCUAAAAUGUAAAUGUAAAAUGUUGAAUACUGUUCAAUGUUCAUGUCAAUUAAAACGGCAGUUAAAAAACCUAGGUGUUAUUUUAGAUUCUGAACUAAAUAUCGAAUCACACAUUAGGAAUGUGAGGAACAUUGCCAAGGUGUGGUCAUUUCUCUCUCAGGCUGAUACAGAGAGACUCAUCCAUGAGUCUUUUAUUAUGAACAGGCUUGACAGCUGUAAUGUUCUCCUGCCUGGUCUACCCAAGAAAGCCAUUGGUCAACUGCAAAACAUAUAGAAUGCUGCAGCACGGGUCCUGACAAUGACCAGUCGUAGAGCAGACAUUACAUCGGGUUUAAAGUCUCUGCACUGGCUGCCUGUGAGUUUUAGAAUACAUUUAGUUAUUAUGCCCCCAGUCUCUGGAAUUGCCUGCCAGAGAACCUGAAUGGGGCUGAAACUGUGGACCCAUUUAUAAGAGAUCUUAAAACACAUAAUUAAGCUUUGCUUUUCCUCUGGGUGCUUUUUAGUUGUUCAGUUUGUGUCAUUCUUUAGUUUUUUUAAAUCUUAUGUUUGUUGUGUAAUAAAUAUUUCAGCUUUUAUUUUCAUUGUUAUUUAUUUGUUUUUUCUUGCAAAGCCCAUUUUGCAUUGCAUUCCAUGUCUGAAUUGUGCUGUAUAAUUGUAAUUACAUUCCAUUUCAUUCCUGUGAUACAAAUGGUGUAAGUAUGUGUAAUAACAUGGCUAUAAACUAAUA